AUAAAUUCUCUUAUCCUCUCUCAUUCUCUCUCUCUCUCUCUCUCUCAUUUUCUCUCUCUCAAGGAUUUAUUCUAUAAAUUCUCUUAUCCUCUCUCAUUCUCUCAUUCUCUCUCUCUCUCUCUCUCAUUCUCUCUCUCUCUCUCUCUCUAAGAUCCUUCGCCGUUCAUCACCCGUUUCCAAAAACGGAGGGUACUGCGUGGAUCAGAAGAGGAAACUCUACACUUUUAGUAGAUCGGAUCGUCGUUUCGGAGAGUUUCGGGUUUUCCCAAGAAUCGAGGUUUUCAGGAUCUCGAGUUGUCGUUUUGGACCGUUUUCGUACGAAGUUUCAUUUCGAAUAUAAGGUCCAUCCGUGCGUCGGUCCUAGUAGAUAAAAGGACUAGGGAGGUUAUUUUGGUUAGCUUACGUAAGCAUCUAAAUUUUUGUACUAAACUUGAUGAAAGUCCUUUUCGGAGGGUUGUAAUAUGACGAUUACUCUAAGUCCGAAUGUAUGUAAAUUAUGGAUGUAUUAGUGAACUCUGGUAUAAGGCUAGUAGUAAUCCCAAUGGAUGUUUAUGUUUUUCUGCGACAUUUACAUCAUGAUUAUGUAUGUUUUACACCUGUAUGUCCCUGUUUAGGGCGGGUUGUUUCCAUAUCUUGAACAGGUAUAGGUAUUUGAUGUAUGUGAGUGACACCUGAGUCCGUGUAAAGGGCCGGGUUGUUACAACAUGUCUUUCGCUAUAAUGGUAAGAAGAUAAUUUGAGGCCCCCUCUACCAAUCAACCAAGACGAGGAAUCAUACGCAAUUACUCAACUUGAGGACACUAAAAGGAAGGAAAUGAAUGUGUUUGAAGACAUCCAAAGUCUUUCAGACGUAUCAAUUGUUGUGUUUGUCAUUCAUGAUUAGUUCAUUGAUGCUGACUCUCAAUUCAAGUCUAUGAUGCUGCCAAUGGAACCUGGUUUCUUGUAUCACUCAACCUUCGGCUUUUGAAGAGCCCAAGUUGGCUUCUUGCUCCAAUCCUCCAAUAUUUCAGAACUUGAAGCCAAGUUUUUUCUAACUGGGGGAGACUUGAUGUAGGACAAGAAGCAAGACUUUGGGAAGACCCUUGUUGGAGAAAAUAAGAAUUAGAUCGAGGAUUGUUGGGUUUAGUUAGUAGUUUAUUAUGUGUUUAGUUUAAUUAAGAUAGUAUUAUAUGUAUUUGGGACCUUGUUUGUAGUAUUUGUGUAUUCUAGGGGUAUGUUUAUAAUGUAAUUUAGUUUUAGGGUUUAUAUGUAAUUUCAUGGGAAGAGGCUACAUAGUGUGUUAAAGGCUUAAAGCCAUGUUAUAGGCAGUUGUUGAAUUUGAAUUGAAGUGAACGUGAGUUUUCCCCCUUGUA